CACUCCUACGGGAGGCAGCAGUGGGGAAUAUUGGACAAUGGGCGCAAGCCUGAUCCAGCCAUGCCGCGUGAGUGAUGAAGGCCCUAGGGUUGUAAAGCUCUUUCACCGGUGAAGAUAAUGACGGUAACCGGAGAAGAAGCCCCGGCUAACUUCGUGCCAGCAGCCGCGGUAAUACGAAGGGGGCUAGCGUUGUUCGGAUUUACUGGGCGUAAAGCGCACGUAGGCGGACUAUUAAGUCAGGGGUGAAAUCCCGGGGCUCAACCCCGGAACUGCCUUUGAUACUGGUAGUCUUGAGUUCGAGAGAGGUGAGUGGAAUUCCGAGUGUAGAGGUGAAAUUCGUAGAUAUUCGGAGGAACACCAGUGGCGAAGGCGGCUCACUGGCUCGAUACUGACGCUGAGGUGCGAAAGCGUGGGGAGCAAACAGGAUUAGAAACCCCUGUAGUCCCA
rnacentral:rRNA from 1 species